UGACUAGAAGAAACUUGUCAAGUUCAUUUCCCUUUCAAUUUGUACAAGAUAACAAGAAGUUGGUUGUGGGCAUUCCCUUGUCCUUCUGUAAUAACAGCAAGUUUCUCCCCACAGCAGGGCUACCCACUACAACUAGAUUGCUUCACUAAGGUACUGCUCACUUCCCCAAUGCAGCCUGCCAUGCCAUGCCCCUCAAUGGGCCCCAUCGUCCUUGGAGACUGAGAGUCAGAAUUCCCUUAAACAAACAUUUGUCAGAUCCAGACUAUGUGCCAGUCAUGCAGGCAUGUUGCCUGUUCCAGAUAUAAUCGGACUCAGAGGCAAAAAAGAGCAAGCCAUCCAUUGCUAUGGAGGAGAGAAAAAGAGAGAAGUCAAAAUGAAGAGCAACUCAGCCAAAGGAACCAAGGCAUCAGCUAAGACCAAAGUCAUGUUUCCUGGUCCAGUUAUAAUCAGACUGUAUAAAAAGUAAACUGGAAGCAAAAGAGAGCUGGAGCCCAGGGCAUCACCCACAUCUACAAUGAAGGCUGCUACUCCAGACUCCCCAGUGGGCUCCACCCCGAGAACAGCAAGCCACUCAUUGCUACAGAGAGGGUGAAAAAGUAGACAGAAGCAGUUCAGCCAAAAGAAUCAACUGACUCCAAAGGCGUAUCCUCCAUGCCAU